UACGGAGGGAGCUAGCGUUGUUCGGAAUUACUGGGCGUAAAGCGCACGUAGGCGGCUUUGUAAGUUAGAGGUGAAAGCCCGGGGCUCAACCCCGGAAUUGCCUUUAAGACUGCAUCGCUUGAAUCCGGGAGAGGUGAGUGGAAUUCCGAGUGUAGAGGUGAAAUUCGUAGAUAUUCGGAAGAACACCAGUGGCGAAGGCGGCUCACUGGACCGGUAUUGACGCUGAGUGCUGAGACGUGGGGAGCAAACGG
rnacentral:rRNA from 1 species